GCCUUAGUAGCGGCGAGUGAAGCGGCAAAAGCUCAAAUUUGAAAUCUGGCUCUUUCAGAGUCCGAGUUGUAAUUUGAAGAAGGUAUCUUUGGGUCUGGCUCUUGUCUAUGUUUCUUGGAACAGAACGUCACAGAGGGUGAGAAUCCCGUGCGAUGAGAUGAUCCAGGCCUAUGUAAAGUUCCUUCGAAGAGUCGAGUUGUUUGGGAAUGCAGCUCUAAGUGGGUGGUAAAUUCCAUCUAAAGCUAAAUAUUGGCGAGAGACCGAUAGCGAACAAGUACAGUGAUGGAAAGAUGAAAAGAACUUUGAAAAGAGAGUGAAAAAGUACGUGAAAUUGUUGAAAGGGAAGGGCUUGAGAUCAGACUUGGUAUUUUGUAUGUUACUUCUUCGGGGGUGGCCUCUACAGUUUAUCGGGCCAGCAUCAGUUUGGGCGGUAGGAGAAUUGCGUUGGAAUGUGGCACGGCUUCGGUUGUGUGUUAUAGCCUUCGUCGAUACUGCCAGCCUAGACUGAGGACUGCGGUUUAUACCUAGGAUGUUGGCAUAAUGAUCUUAAGUCGCCCGUCUUGAC
rnacentral:rRNA from 1 species